rnacentral:rRNA from 1 species
UGCGUAGGCGGGUUUCUAAGUCAGAGGUGAAAGCCUGGAGCUCAGCUCCAGAACUGCCUUUGAUACUGGAAGUCUUGAGUAUGGCAGAGGUGAGUGGAACUGCGAGUGUAGAGGUGAAAUUCGUAGAUAUUCGCAAGAACACCAGUGGCGAAGGCGGCUCACUGGGCCAUUACUGACGCUGAGGCACGAAAGCGUGGGGAGCAAACA